CAGUCGCCGCGGUAAUACGGAGGGAGCUAGCGUUAUUCGGAAUUACUGGGCGUAAAGCGCACGUAGGCGGCUUUGUAAGUAAGAGGUGAAAGCCCGGAGCUCAACUCCGGAACUGCCUUUUAGACUGCAUCGCUUGAAUCCAGGAGAGGUGAGUGGAAUUCCGAGUGUAGAGGUGAAAUUCGUAGAUAUUCGGAAGAGCACCAGUGGCGAAGGCGGCUCACUGGACUGGUGUUGACGCUGAGGUGCGAAAGCGUGGGGAGCAAACAGGAUUAGAGACCCCGGUAGUCCUGUCUCUUAUACA
rnacentral:rRNA from 1 species